GGCCGUGCCCUCCGCACUGGGAGGGUCUCCCUUUCAAUCCAGCUUCUCCAGUAAAAGAACCAUUGUCCCCAGAGGCUCACAGGGACAAGGGUCUCUCCAGCCCGGCCCUCCCUCCACCCCCUCCUGAUGCCUUUCCUGAAAGAGCGUUCUGUUCUCUGCCCGCCCCUACGCACCCUGUCCCAGCUGCCCCGGGUCCCUGCGGCCUCUCACCCUGCCGUCCCCACCAGCCCUGCAGCCAUGGCCGUCCUUCCUGCCUCGUGUUGCUUGGUGGCCACCUGUUACGGCUGGAGUGGUUUCCACCGAAAAAACCCGGCCCCUGGGGAGGCGACCUGACUUGUAAACAGGAUCUUUGCGGAUGAAACUGGUUAAGGUUAAAAAAUAUCACCACCAUCUUCCAGUAAUCCGCCAAAAUGUCUAGCACAGAGGGCGAGAGAGGCACCGCUCCGUGUCCCCGAGGCCUUUUAGGAAACACGGACUGUUCCUCUGCCCACGAACAUGCGAAGCUACAAGGAAGGCGAUACGGCGGACAUCGAGGGAAUGGGCCCCACCGACCUGCCCACAGCAACGCUGGACGAGGCUGCGUGCCACCCAGCGCGCCACGGCAUCGCGAACGCGCAGGACGUGCAGGAGCCUCCCCAGGUGAGCACCACGGAGGCUGCCCGGCCGCAGAGAGGAGCCUGAGCCACGGUUCUACCUGCAGGCCCUCAGCUCUGCAACUUCCUGCCUAACCGCUUCCUGGGUGAGGAGGUGAAGCUCAUCAGGGAAGAUGGGCGCCACCUGCCUCCUCUCCGCGGGCUGUGGGCCAGGCUGGCCGGGCGAGUCGCUCUUCCAAAGGCUCCCCCUCCAGGACCGCCAGGAGCCUGAGGGCCCCUCUGCGUGCCCUGGGCUCUGGCUUUCGCCUGAGCCUCUCGCGUGUGCAUAAC